UGACCUAUUAACAUGAAUUUCACCAUCAUAGUUGCUGCUCAUGCAUGUAAUAACCACAAGAAAAUUGCACGCAGAUAGAUAAUUUAGUUCUCUGUAAAUUGCAAAAGUGUGGUCUGAAGCCAAGAUUGACUUGGUGUCAUUUCAAUUGGGGCCAUUUCCAGCUUCCUCAAGUAUACAGAAUCAUCAGCAGUGUAUAUGGCCAGACUCAAUGCGUUCCACGAAGGUUCUUGUGGACCCUGUCGUCUCUGUAUGGAAACAGUAAAGAAAUAUACACACGUCCAAAAGUUGAGUGAGAAUGAAUAUUCAUUACUGUUAAAAGUGGAAAGUGUGUCUAUAGACAAAAGUGCUUGUAUUUGUUACAGUUGCUCAAAGCAAAUAAAACGUAGCAUAACAAGUAAUAAUCCCAACUUUCAACCGAGAUGGAAACCAAAAAUUGUCAAGGAGACGUUGAAAUGUAGUAUACAUAUUUGCAACGAAAAACUUUGUAAAACCACAAAACUAAUCCCAACUAACCACAUAAUUGUACAGCUCAGUAAAAGUUACAAAAAAGGUGGAAAAUUUAUUGAUCUUAAGGCAUUCGCUGAGGCCCUUUCGAAAGACCCUGACCUAAGUGGCAUUACUGAUUACACAGACCUCAAGUUAUCCAAUCUAUUUAUGUUAGUACUGGCUGUGACUACAUCUCAUUUUUUUCUGGCGUAGGAAAAAUUACUUUUCUGACAACUUUUUUCCAGUAUGCAUCAUUUAUAACAGGCGGACAACCCAUUGGAAGCAUGGGAAUUCUUGAGACCUCCUCAGCACUAUUGUCGUUCUUACGUCUAGUGGGUUGUGCAUAUUUUAAGAAACACACAUCGGCAUUCGAACACCCUACACCAAUUGCUCUGUACCAAUCAAUUGGUAUUGUUAACCCACUUACACACCAUGAAGAAUGGUUACAAAUAAUCAGAAAGACUAUCUGGCUAAGGGCAGAUACAGAAAGCCAUAAUUUACCAUCUACCGAAGCUCUGGCGCUACACUGGAAGAGAUGCUUAUGGGUACUUCAAAUGUGGAACAGUGCAACACAAAAUGACAUGGACCUUCCAGCUCUCACUACACAUGGAUGGAAGCGAGAAAAUGGAGAACUGGGGAUUCAAUGGGAUUCUCCAAAAAACCUGACAAAGUCAAAGGAAAGAGUGGAAUAUGUAUUAUCCGGGUGCAAGUGCAAGACUGGUUGCACAAACAAA